GAGAGGACACUGCCUCUGGGAGGCCCAGCACAGCCCGGAGAGACUGGUCAGUCUGCAGAGCCCUCGGCGUGCAAAGCCACGGGCACGGACAAGCCGAGCGCGCAGGGACCACGACCACAGACGCGCAGGGCUCUCGCGUGCCUCACAACUCCUGACCUGCGAUCAGGGACUGCGCGGAGGCGCGCCAAGGCCCAGGAACACAGCCCUGGCCGGCCCGGGCCCUAGUGUGGGUGCUUUGGGGCCAUGUGCCUGCCCUGGCGCCGCUGAUGCUAUCGCCGGGUGGGCGCGCGCGUCUGGGGUGCGCCUGCUGCCACGUAGACCCAAACUGUCACCCCCCACCCCCCACCCCUUUCGGCCUAUCCCACACUCCUCUUCCGGCUCAGAACACAUCCGGCCUUGUGUUGCUCUAGUCCUCGCUGCUGCUCCGUCUCCAACGGUCUGCAGAGACCCGGGGAGGUCGUGGCCCCGCGCAGUCGCCCUUCCCACCUGCUCCCGGCCCGCGGCUUCCUUGGAGCCGCUGCUGAAGAUCCUCAGAGCACUUGAGGGCUGCCUGUAACGCCCCGUUAGACAUCUGAUAGGCGAACGGUUGUAUUUGGUUUGAUCAGUAUUUGUGGGUCAUUUAUUGCAAAUGUUAGGUUCCAGCUGGUGGAGAUUUCCACCAGAUUUCUCUGUGGGAGAUGAAACGACCAACAGCGAUUAUCAGAGAGGUCUUUGCUGUCAGCUCGAGGUCUACAGCAACCCUGUGUGUCCUAGCACAACUAGCCUCAGGCAAAAUAGAUACGGAUUCGAAUUUGCUACUAUAUACCUUUGAGGUGCACCUUUGGGAGGAUCUCAUCCCUUGACUUCUGCUUUCUCUCCUUGAUUGAUGGCUCUCAAAUCCACACACUUGGCUCAGAUAUGUUAGCCAUAUUUCCCCCUACCCUCCGGUUUUUUUCUUAGAACUUUCCUCCUCAAGUUACCACGUCUGGCACUAAAUUUUACCUCUUCCAAGCUCCCAACUCCAUUUAUCCCCGUGGUCUCGCCAUUCUCUCAGCCACCUGUCAUGCCUUCUUCAUCAGGUGCCUUAAUGGCUCGUCAGUACCGGACUUUGCUGCCUGUCCGCCUCUGGUAUUCCCCCGAUGCAGCGCUAUCCCGGGCCUUUUUUCUGCCCUGAAUACUGACAGCCUCUCCCAAUCCAUGAGCACAAAAUCUUUUCACUGUCCCCUUUGGCAUCACCCCCAACUCUCCCACCUGGCCCCCACAGAAGCCCACCGCAGCCCGCCCAACAAUGUCUCCUCUGCCCCUUCUGAUUGUCCUCUCACGGAUUGCAGGCUCUACUGCUUAGCUCACACUGUCACCCUCUUCUCUACAUGGGUUAGUCAAGGUGCUUUCUGCUGUAAAAGACAACCCAAUUCACACUAACUUAAAUCACAAAGGGUUGAUCCGCUGUGUACAUGAAGAGCCUGUCUGCUUCAGGCCUGGCUUUAGUCCCAGGGUCUCAGGGACUCCCCGUCUCAGUUUUGCUGUCUUCCACAUGAACUACGCUUUCAUGCGCACAUGAGACCCUGGCAGAUCCAGGCUCACAGCCUCACAGCUCUAGUUCUAGCAGAAAAUCAGCUUCUCUGCCAGCCAUUGCAACUAGCCUUGGACCUGGCUUUGUUUGCAGGAUUGGGCCACAUGUCCAUGCUGUGCUCUCAGCCUCUGUGACUCCAUGGCAGGUGGGUUCACUCGUGGACACACUAUCACCCUCAGCAGGGAGCAUGUAGGCACUCUUGGAUCCCUUCUCUGUCACAAGGGGACUAAAGGUAACUCAGGGCACCAUCUCUAGCCAUUUCUCUGCAAAAUUUGCCACACCAGCGCUUUGCUUGACAGCGCAGGGCAUACUGUGGGGGCAGAGUCUCAGCCUGGAGAUAGGACACAGGCCCUUUCUGCUUUCAGCUUCCUCCUUAACCUAUCUGAGAUCUGUGUCUUUGUACCACCCCCUUCCCUAGGUCCACACUUGGUAUAGGGAUAGCCUCAGGCCCUCAUGGAAUCAGGCAUCAUACACUCCCUAGACUCACAUCCUGUUUCUUUACCUCACCUUCCCGAUUCCCUGAGGAUGUCUAUGCUACCUUCCAUUCUAGAGGAGGCAUCUCCUCCCCCUGUGGACUCUGGGUUCUGAGUGGUACCCACCGAGCCUUAAUGGAGAAAGGGGCUAUAGGGAAGAAAAAAGAAAAGCUUCCUACAGGGAAAAUAGAUAUGAGGAAGCAUCUCAAGACCAUUACUCCCACUAAAUCUCUUUCCUCCGUGGUUGCUGAAGAGGCAGGAUGGCAGCCUGACACAGCUGGGGACCAUCUGGCCAGCACCUGGGGAGACUGUGCCAGAGACUGCAGCUGACAGAGGAAAGCAGAGUGGUGAGAUAGGCAGGUUUCUUUCUUUCUUUCUUUUUUGUUUACCUUCACAACAGAAUGGAUGUCAUAGGCAGGUUUCUGCUGUGCCUGAAUCCCACAUACCACUGGAUUUUUCAAGUACGUGUUCCAGUAAAUACCCCAUUUUCCCCCAAGCAAAUUAGAAUUGGCUUUCUCUGUCACUUGCAACCAAGAGAGUCUUGACUAGUAUAAGCCUCUAGCAUAGGACCUCACACAUUAGUUCCUGUAAAAUAGCAACUAUCAUCACCGUUAUUCAUAUGAUAAAUGAGCAAGCCAUCCUCUUUGGUAACUGUAAACUGUAGAAAUGAAAAGUGCAUGCAGUAUGCUCAAUAACUUUUGUCUCCCCUCUUAUUCCCAGCCUGCUCCUUUGUCCUUUCCAAAUUCACAUCUUGACCUCCAAGGAAACCCUCAACAUUCAUUAAAAGCAGAGCCCACCCAUCUUAUAAAAAUAGUCCCAGACUCACCCAAGUCACGAAUAUUCCGCUAGGCAGCAUUUGCUCCCAUGUUACACAAGUGAUCCCUUCCUAGACUAUAAGCAACUGGGAGCAGGUGUCCAGCUUCAAUUCACUUUCAAGCCUUUGAGCAAAAAUUGUACAAAUAUUUGCACAGCCUCCUUUGUCCCGUACUGUAGACUUAAAGAAACAAUGAGCUACUGCCUCUACACUUAAAGGGACUUUACCAUGGGGAAAGACAAAUAGUCUAGGACAGAGACUGAGAUGACAGAUGACAAUACCAGGGAGUCCUCUAGGGGAUGGAGGUGGAGUGGUUAUUUGCACCAUGUUCUAAGUUCCAAAGGCCUGUGCUGCCUGCAGUCUUGACUUAUGACAGAUUUUAUACAUCCACACUAAACCUUUCUUCUGUGCCCAUCACAGUAUCCAGAGAAUAAAUUUCAUUUCAAAAUUCCAUUUACCAUGGGUUUUGUUUCUCCGAUGACAAAAGAAGUACCUAUUCAUUGUUGAAACUUGGAAAAAUACAAAGCACACAAAAAUAAAGAUUAAAACUAAAAUUAUACAUAAUAGAUUUAUGUUGAUUAAUAUAGUAGAGAAUAUCAAACUGUGAUGUAAAGAGAGAAUAUGGCCUCAUUCACACUUCUACCCCACACCUGGCAACUGCAGGGCCUCAGGGAGAUAAAUAUCUUGCAAAAAGCUAAAGAUCAUCCUUAGCUUCUUGCAGAAAUGCUGCACUGUCUCUAACACAUGUAUAGUUUUUAAAAAUGCAAUCCAGGCCAGCUCCAGGGUGGUCUGUUCUCUAUUAUUUAUGUAUGCAUGAUUCAUUUUACUUACCACCAGCUGUAAUCCCUUCUCCCCACCCCUAGCAGGCCUAUUAUGCAAGUCCCUUCCCCCUCCUGAGAGCAGCUAGGGAGGCAAACUCAUUUUCCCAUCUAUCUGGGUGAAAUUUAAUUAGAAAGCCAAAUCUGGAAGAACAGAACACAAAAUAACCACAUUAAAUAAAAAUAAGAGAUGGCUCUGAACUUGACUUUAAGCCAAAAAAUCAAAGAACUGCAGUAAUUUGCUGAAUCAUAGAUCUAAAUACUCAUUUUUGUCUUCUAACCUCUAAGCCCAACUGAAAGAGGCUUCUAAAGAAAAAAAAGAAACAAACAAGUACUAGAUGAACACAAAUAACAUUUAGAAGUCAUAAAAGGACAACAAGGACUCUGGCUUUCUAUUCCAUCUAAAACAAUACCAGGCACAUAGUAGGUACUGUAUGAAAAUUGGAUGAAUGGAUAGAUGGGCUAAAAGACCAUACUUCUUGUUUUAUAAUGGAAUGUUAAUCAGAAAGGAGAUGAGAGGAGGUUGAGCAGCUGACGGAGCUUUCUGCAGUCUCAUGGCCACUUGAGAAACAGCAAUUGUAGUUCAGGGUCCAUGAGAGAUGGGGCCCAGGCGAUACCCUAGACUUCCAGUUAGGACCCAAAGGAGAGAGAUUGGAAGCUAGAAAACAGCCGUAAAGUGCUGUAAGUCAUUGCCAGUGUAGAAUUCUAUGCCCAGAAUAAACAAGAGACAGAGAAGAAUCAACUUACCCAAAAUCAGUCACAAAAUUAGGUAGUGGGAGACCCAGGACUAAAAUCCAGGCCUCCUGAACGUUUCAGGGCCCUUUUCACUAAACUGCACUGGGUUCUUUGCCCCAUAUAUAUGUUUUUUAAGCCACUAAAUAAAAAGAAAAUAAAACAUCUCAGUAUUCUCCAAAGAGGAGCAGAACAAAUUUAUCUUACAAGUUUGGAUUGUUCACAAAUUGCAUCCCGAAACUACUUGGGCUCACCACUUCCCUCAGUGGAUCCAGGCGACUUAUAUUCAUGAACACUGGCUGAGUUGCCUUGGGUUCUGAGAUCCUUUGCCUUCAGCCCACACCUCCCUGUUGAGGACAGACCAGAAUAUCCAAUUGCUUACUCAGUGAUUCCGUUGAACUUCUCAAAGCACCAAAAACUCCAUAAUGUCCAAAACUUAACUGGUGUUUUCUGUUGUAGGGAAUAGCGCCUGUGCCAACUGUCCUAAUCUGAAAAUUAGAAACAUGGGAAACACCUCUCUCUCCCUCAUCCUCCACAUCUGGUCUUUUUCCAAGUCCUGUUCAUCAUUCCCUCUGUGAAUAUUCCUCUAAUUUGCCCACUUUAGUCGUCUCCAUCACCACUCUAGUCCAAACCAUGAAUCUGCUUUCUAUCACUAUGGAGUAGUUUGCAUCUUCUCAAAUUUUGUAUUAAUGAAAUCAUAUAGUAUGUAUGCUUUUUUUUGCUGGAUAUUUUUCACUUACUUAGCGCAAUUAUUUUGAAAUUCAGCCACAGUGAUGCUCGUAUCAAUAACUUAUUCAUUUUCAUUGCUGACUAUUUUUCCAUGGUAAGGAUAUCCCACAGUUUGUUUUUGAUUCACCAUUGAUGGACAUUUGGGUUGUUUCCAGACUGGGUUAUGACAAAGCUUCUGUGAACAUUUGUGUACAAGUAUUAGUACUUGUACCAAUGAACACAUUCUUUCAUUGCUUUUGUGUAACUAUCUAGGAAUGGCAUGGCUGGGUCACAUGAUAGGGAUAUGUUUAACCUUUAAAGAAAUUGUCAAACUGUUUUCCAGACUGCUUAUAUCAUUUUACACUCUCAUCAGUAAUGCUGAGAAUUCCUUUUGCUCCAUAUCCUCACCAACACUUGGUAUGGUCAAUAUUUUUAAUUUUAGCCAUUCUGGUGGGUGGGUAGCAAUAUUGUUUUUGCUUUAAUUUGUAAUUCACCAUUGUUUCAUGAUGCUGAGUAUCUUUUCAUGUGCUUAUUUGCCAUCUGUGUAUCUUCCUUGGUGAAGCAUCUGUUCAAAUCUUUUGACUAUUUAAUUGGGUUGUUUGCCAUAUUAUUGAGUUGUGAGUGUUCUGUAUAUAUUCUAGACACAAAUCUGUCAGAUUUACAUUUGCAAAUAUUUUCUUCCAGCCUAUGGGUUUGCCUUUUUCAUUUUCAUUACAAUGUGUUUUGAAGAACAAAGUUUUAAAUGUCGAUAAAGUGCCACUUAU
rnacentral:lncRNA from 1 species